ensembl:snRNA predicted gene, 22228
UUGCUUCCCCAGCACAUCCACUAAAGAGAACGACACAGAAAAGCUUACCAUGGUCUCUGUACAAGGGUGGCAUGCAGCUCUCUGAAGAAGUCUGUUUGAAU